rnacentral:rRNA from 1 species
UCUCAGUUCAGACUGCAGGCUGCAACUCGCCUGCACGAAGUCGGAAUUGCUAGUAAUCGCGGAUCAGAAUGCCGCGGUGAAUACGUUCCCGGGCCUUGUACACACCGCCCGUCACACCAUGGGAGUCGGUAACACCCGAAGUCGGUGGUCUAACCGCAAGGAGCGACCUAGGGCAAAACUGGUGACUGGGGCUAAGUCGUAACAAGGUAAC